rnacentral:rRNA from 1 species
UAACAAGGAUUCCCCUAGUAACGGCGAGCGAAGCGGGAAGAGCUCAAAUUUGAAAGCUGGCACCUUCGGUGUCCGCGUUGUAAUCUCGAGACGUGUUUUCCGUGUGGCGCUAUGGACAAGUCCCUUGGAACAGGGCAUCGUAGAGGGUGAAAAUCCCGUACUUGCCAUGGAUGUACCAUGCUUUGUGAUACACGCUCUAAGAGUCGAGUUGUUUGGGAUUGCAGCUCAAAAUGGGUGGUAGACUCCAUCUAAAGCUAAAUAUCGGGGAGAGACCGAUAGCGAACAAGUACCGUGAGGGAAAGAUGAAAAGCACUUUGGAAAGAGAGUUAAAAGUACGUGAAAUUGUCGAAAGGGAAGCGCUUGAAGUCAGCCAUGCUGCUUGAGACUCAGCCUUGCUUUUGCUUGGUGUAUUUCUCGGUAGCAAGCCAGCAUUGGUUUGAGUCGUCGGAGAAGGGUAUGAGAAAUGUGGCAUCCUCGGAUGUGUUAUAGGCUUGUACUGGAUACGACGAUUUGGAUCAAGGAACGCAGUGUGCCUCUGGCGGGUCUUCGGACACCUUCACACUUAGGAUGCUGGCGUAAU